rnacentral:rRNA from 1 species
CGAGGCAUCGGCAAUGGGGGAAACCCUGACCGUGCGACGCCGCGUGAGGGAUGAAGCUCUUCGGGGUGUACACCUCUUUUCCGGGGGAAGAACCCUGUACGGUCGAAUAAGCCGUACAGCUGACGGUACCCCGGGAAUAAGCUCCGGCUACCUCCGUGCAAGCAGCCGCGGUAAUACGGGGGGAGCAAACGUUGUUCGGAAUCACUGGGCGUAAAGGGCGCGUAGGCGGCCCGGCAAGUGGUGUGUGAAAUGCCCUGGCUCAACCAGGGAACUGCGCUCCAAACUGCCGGGCUUGAGGUCAGUAGAGGAAGCUGGAAUUCCAGGUGUAGCGGUGAAAUGCGUAGAUAUCUGGAGGAACACCGUUGGCGAAGGCGAGCUUCUGGGCUGCACCUGACGCUGAGGCGCGAAAGCUGGGGGAGCAAAC